UGAGACAGAUAUUAGGUGUAACGGCCACAGUCACUGAGAUCCAGUCUAUUGAACAGCGUUCAGGUGUGCAGGACCACCUGGAAUCCACUUUUUUAGUGGACGUUCAAGUUCCAGUUUUUACUGCGAUCAGAGAACUUUAUCCAGAUCCACAGAUUGCAGCACCAUCAAGCUUCCCCUACGCAGGUCCAUCAUUUGUUUAGUGUUGGGCGUCAUGGAGCAACUCAACUUGACUGCAGUAACUUCAAACAUCUCCUCCUCUUCUGAACUUCUCACUUCUCCUUCCAUGGACUCCAGAGGUGUGCCAGCUGCAGUGAUUCUGUGUCUCUGCUUUCUCCUGGGAGUCCCUGGAAACAUUGCUGUCAUCAUUCUGAAGCCAAAUUUUCAGCAGUUGUCCAGCAUGACCCAGAGUUUGAUGCUGAAUCUGGCCGUGUCAGACCUGCUCUGUCUGCUGACUCUCCCACUGUGGAUUUACAGUCUGCUCUACAGCUGGAUCUUUGGUCUACUGGCCUGUAAAAUCCUAGUAUAUCUCGGGUCUUGCAGUCUUUAUUUAAGUGUGCUAACAAUAGUUUUGUUGAGCUUCCAACGCUACAUGCUCGUAGUGCACCAGCAGGUUCUGACAAAAAUGAGAUGGUGUCUGGUUUUGCUUUGGCCGGUUUCACUGAUUCUUUCCAUCCCUUUUUUUGUGAUUCAAAAGGAAAUCCCUGAUAAGAACCGGCUGCGCUGUGGAUAUGUGUUCUCGUCCAGAACCCAGAAGUUAGCUACGCUGCUGACAGAGACUCUGGUGGGAUUUACUUCAUGUUUUAUUGUAGCAUUUUCAUACAUUCAGCUUUACAGGAAGGUGAAUCGAGCAGCAUUUUUUAACAACCCUCAGACAUCCAGACUGGUUACCAGUAUCAUUAUAGUGUUUUUUGUCCUGUGGAUUCCAUAUCACACUAUGAAUGUAUUGCGUGUUGGAGCUACUGCUUUUCACAAUGAGAGACUUGACAAACACCUCGCAGAGUUGCGGUACAUUGUUCUACCACUGACAUUUAUAAACAGCUGUCUGAAUCCACUCCUGUAUGCAUUCACUUCUCACAUUUGUAAAUGUGUAAACCAUCUAAACCAAUGAGGUGGAUGUUUCUAACUUCCACAAACAAUGUCACUGCUGAUUUUAAAUCUUUGAGAUAAGUCAUUUCACUGGAUGUCACUGAAGAGAAUCUUUUCCAGCAGGUUAUAUUCGCUUUGUCCCAGAAAUCUGCAGAUGGUGUUGCAACUAAGGUUAUUAUUCAAAUAAACCGUGUCAUUCAACCAAAGUUCUAGUUAGAUUAACUGUUUUGUUUACUUUCUGUUUUUUUUUUGCAAACAUCAUUUGCAUUUAGCCUGCAACAAAAGAUAAAUUUGGUACUGUACAAAGGUAAAAGUAAAUUGCGCCAGCAUCAUUUAUAUUCAUCGUAAAAAAAAAUGAUUUAAGAAUAAAGGAAAUGUUAUUUUUAGAUUAAGGUUUGAAACAGGAAGCUCCACAGUCAGACCUUUUCUCACAUCAUCACUAACUGCAUGAGAACUGAGUCUUAUUUUAAUGUUUUUUAGUUAGAUUGUGUAAAUAAACUACCUUGUAUUUGAA